AGCUCUCACCCCGAGAGUGGUAAGGACCAGGAGCUGAAGAAGAGACAUCUCCGGGGUGAGUGAUUCUGCAAGGACUCUGUGCCAUCUACGGGAAAGACCAGGGAUGAAAAGCUCCUCUGGGAGUUUUCUCCAGCUGCUCCACCAAAGCCAGCCAAGGGUUCUGCAGGACUAUCCUCCCCAACUCCCAGCCUCCGCGUCAACCUUGACUCACCAGGGCCAGCAGGGCUCCCGGGGUCCUGGAGGAGAAGCCACUGUUCUUGGAUGCAUCUCAGUUGUGCAGCUCAGCUCAAUACAAUCAAACUAGACGGCCUAGGGAAUAGAUUCCAAGAAAGCUAACUGACCACCAUCACACACACUUGUGUCCAUUCCAAAAUUUCAGGAACAAGAAAAAGGAUUGCUUAGGAAGGCGCCCAUCACGGGAUCAUUAACUGAAUAGGCCUUCUCAUCAGAUGGUGUUGCCAAGAAACAUUCCCUAUGGCAACACUUCUCCACCCCAUCACUGGAAUUAGACCUGUUUCUUCAACACAGGCCUCAGUUCACAUAUCUAUAGGAAGGAGAUUGGGCCAGAUGAUUUUCUAAGGAACCAUCGACUGCACCGUGAUCUGUGACCUAAAUAGCCAAGGUUUCUGUUAAUGGAUUUAAGCCCCACUCCGGCGUUCACCACUCAGUGCUGCGGGCCCUUUGCCCUGGAGCUCCUCCCACAGAGUCCUGCCAGGCCUCUAGAAUUUACAGGUCUGGCUUGGCCGGUACAGCCAAGACUGUUCUCACAUGAGACAGAGAAGCCCACAUGCCGCCGAGCCCACACGCUCUUUGAUUGAUUUAGUUUGUAUAAACCUAAACCUGUACUGACUUCCAUCUCUUUUUAGCUUGAUUUAUUCUUUGAAUCUUUUAUUCCUUUUUUUUUCACUCUUUUACUGUAUUUCCAUUGUCCUUGGUCUUCUUCAUCUUUUAGUUACUGUUUACACUGCUUUAUCUUCGUUCUUAUGAGGGUCUUACCAGGAUUCCAUUUGAUUUUAUUGUGUUAUCCUGCCUGUCGUUACUCUAAUUUUAAUUGCUUUCACAUUCUUUUUUAUUUUCUGGUCAAGUGACAUCGUGUUCUAUCUUUUCUGGUUGGCUAAGUUCUAUACCUGGAGAGCGUAGGAUGUCGUCUGCAGGCAGAACCCAGGGUCAAGCGCAAAAAGGGGAGUGUGCUCUCCUCCAGGGAGCUGCCAGUUAGUCUGUUCUGUGGGUCGCUUCUGAGCUGCUAGUAAGAAUUACUAGCAGUCUGCUCUCAGAGAAGGGAACCAAAUCCACC
rnacentral:lncRNA from 1 species